UUUCCGUAGGUGAACCUGCGGAAGGAUCAUUAUCGAAAUACGUAUUUAGGGUUCCGUUCUAUCCCAUUGUUUUAUUUACGCUGUUGCUUCCACUGGAUGAGUUUCAAUACCUUGUGUUUGAAAAACUUUGUCUUGUGUAAGAUUCAUUCACAGCCAUCUAGUGAGAAGAAUAUUUACAAAAACUUGUUAAAAAGCAAUUCUCUGAAUAUUUUACGCCAAUGAAAUAAAACUUUCGACAACGGAUCUCUAGGCUCUUGCGUCGAUGAACAACACAGCAUA
rnacentral:misc_RNA from 1 species